GAUGAACGCUAGCUACAGGCUUAACACAUGCAAGUCGAGGGGCAGCAUGGUCUUAGCUUGCUAAGGCUGAUGGCGACCGGCGCACGGGUGAGUAACACGUAUCCAACCUGCCGUCUACUCUUGGCCAGCCUUCUGAAAGGAAGAUUAAUCCAGGAUGGCAUCAUGAGUUCACAUGUCCGCAUGAUUAAAGGUAUUUUCCGGUAGACGAUGGGGAUGCGUUCCAUUAGAUAGUAGGCGGGGUAACGGCCCACCUAGUCAACGAUGGAUAGGGGUUCUGAGAGGAAGGUCCCCCACAUUGGAACUGAGACACGGUCCAAACUCCUACGGGAGGCAGCAGUGAGGAAUAUUGGUCAAUGGGCGAUGGCCUGAACCAGCCAAGUAGCGUGAAGGAUGACUGCCCUAUGGGUUGUAAACUUCUUUUAUAAAGGAAUAAAGUCGGGUAUGCAUACCCGUUUGCAUGUACUUUAUGAAUAAGGAUCGGCUAACUCCGUGCCAGCAGCCGCGGUAAUACGGAGGAUCCGAGCGUUAUCCGGAUUUAUUGGGUUUAAAGGGAGCGUAGAUGGAUGUUUAAGUCAGUUGUGAAAGUUUGCGGCUCAACCGUAAAAUUGCAGUUGAUACUGGAUGUCUUGAGUGCAGUUGAGGCAGGCGGAAUUCGUGGUGUAGCGGUGAAAUGCUUAGAUAUCACGAAGAACUCCGAUUGCGAAGGCAGCCUGCUAAGCUGCAACUGACAUUGAGGCUCNGAAGUGUGGGUACAAACAGGAUAGAUACCCUGGUAGUCACACGGUAACGAUGAUACUCGCUGUUGCGAUAUACGGCAGCGCCAAGCGAAAGCGUUAAGUAUCCACCUGGCGAUACGCCGGCAACGGUGAAACUCAAAGGAAUUGACGGGGCCCGCACAAGCGGAGGAACAUGUGGUUUAAUUCGAUGAUACGCGAGGAACCUUACCCGGGCUUAAAUUGCACUCGAAUGAUCCGGAAACGGCUCAGCUAGCAAUAGCGAGUGUGAAGGUGCUGCAUGGUUGUCGUCAGCUCGUGCCGUGAGGUGUCGGCUUAAGUGCCAUAACGAGCGCAACCCUUGUUGUCAGUUACUAACAGGUGAUGCUGAGGACUCUGACAAGACUGCCAUCGUAAGAUGUGAGGAAGGUGGGGAUGACGUCAAAUCAGCACGGCCCUUACGUCCGGGGCUACACACGUGUUACAAUGGGGGGUACAGAGGGCCGCUACCACGCGAGUGGAUGCCAAUCCCUAAAACCCCUCUCAGUUCGGACUGGAGUCUGCAACCCGACUCCACGAA
rnacentral:rRNA from 1 species